AGUACAGUGAGCCCUCUGUCUGCAGAUGCGGAGCCCGCGCCUCCGUAGCCUGCAGUACAGAGGACUGGCUGUACU
ensembl:miRNA